rnacentral:lncRNA from 1 species
GACAGGUAGAUUUGCGUGUCAUCUGCAUAGAAAUGAUAUUGGAAGCUAAAGGAGCUAAUGAGUUUACCAAGGGAGGCAGUAGAGAUGGAAAACAGUAGGGGACCAAGGACUGAACCUUGGGGGAAACCAACAGAGAGGAGUUGGUUAGAAGAAGCAGAGUCAGAGAAAGAAACACUGAAAGAGCGCUAGGAGAGGUAGGAGGAGCACCAGGCGAGAGCGAUAUCUUG